rnacentral:rRNA from 1 species
AAAUUGAAGAGUUUGAUCAUGGCUCAGAUUGAACGCUGGCGGCAGGCUUAACACAUGCAAGUCGAACGGUAACAGGAAGCAGCUUGCUGCUUUGCUGACGAGUGGCGGACGGGUGAGUAAUGUCUGGGAAACUGCCUGAUGGAGGGGGAUAACUACUGGAAACGGUGGCUAAUACCGCAUAACGUCGCAAGACCAAAGAGGGGGACCUUCGGGCCUCUUGCCAUCAGAUGUGCCCAGAUGGGAUUAGCUUGUUGG